GCUCAGACGCUCUUGCGUUUCUAGCUGAGAGAGGCUGUGUUCUCUGACAGUGCAAUCAUGAAAUCCAUACUUAGAUUCCUUCUACUGUUGGCCACCCCCUGGUGGGUCCUGUCACAAGUGCAGCUGGUGGAGUCAGGGCCCGGGACUGUAAAACCCUCAGAGACUCUCAGCCUCACCUGCUCCAUCUCAGGCGCCUCCUCGGACACCCUGGGCAGUAGUUGUUGCUGGUGGCACUGGAUCCGGCAGAGUCCCGGGAAAGGGCUGGAAUGGAUGGGGGAUAUAGAGGAAGGGGGAACAAAAUACUACGCCUCUUCCCUCCAGAGUCGCAUCACCAUCUCCGAGAACCCUUCCAAGAACCAGUUCUCCCUGGAGCUCGGCUCUCUGACAGCUGCAGACACCGGCACCUAUUACUGCGCCAGGAGCUACACAGUGACACAGAGCAAAGCAGGGACUCGUACAAAAAGGGGAAGCGAAUUUCUAGUCAGCCGACAUGAACAUUCAGUUAGUGCUGUAGGGCAUGAGACAGACAGACGAGGCAUUGCCGACAGGGGGAUUUCAGGAGCCACCCUGCGUUUCUUCCCCUGCAUCCCACGCUACCAGCCCCUUCCACUAAGGGAUUUUACACGCUCCGCUUCCCUGCGCUUCCCGCUGAAAUAUGCACUGGGGACUCACUGA